AUUUCAUGCAGAGUGGUUGAGGGACGAGCCCUUUGACGCCACGACAACCGGACAGAACAAACGCGUACCGGUGUCAACUCUCUCCUGGAGGACCGAAAGGUCACAGGGUACAUGAGAU
rnacentral:ncRNA from 2 species